rnacentral:rRNA from 1 species
GAUGAACGCUGGCGGCGUGCCUAACACAUGCAAGUCGAACGGAGAUUACGGACGGAAGUUUUCGGAUGGAAGCCUGUAAUUCUUAGUGGCGGACGGGUGAGUAACGCGUGGGCAACCUGCCCUAUACAGGGGGAUAGCAGCUGGAAACGGCUGGUAAGACCGCAUAAGUCGGUUAAAUCGCAUGAUUUGAUCGGGAAAUGAGCAAUCAGGUAUAGGAUGGGCCCGCGUCCGAUUAGCCAGUUGGCAGGGUAAAAGCCUACCAAAGCGACGAUCGGUAGCCGGACUGAGAGGUCGGACGGCCACAUUGGGACUGAGACACGGCCCAAACUCCUACGGGAGGCAGCAGUGGGGGAUAUUGCACAAUGGAGGAAACUCUGAUGCGGCGACGCCGCGUGAGUGAAGAAGUAUUUCGGUAUGUAAAGCUCUAUCAGCAGGGAAGAGAGACGGUAC